AUUUAACGCUGGCGGCAGGCCUAACACAUGCAAGUCGAGCGAGCGGCGGACGGGUGAGUACUGUCUGGGAAACUGCCUGAUUGACGGGGAUAACUACUGGAAACGGUAGCUAAUACCGCAUACCAUCAGAUGUGCCCCGAUGGGAGUCGCUAGUAGGUUGGGUAACGGCUCACCUAGGCGACGAUCCCUAGCUGGUCUGAGAGGAUGACCAGCCACACUGGAACUGAGACACGGGCCAGACUCCUACGGGAGGCAGCAGUGGGGAAUAUUGCAAAAUGGGCGCAAGCCUGAUGCAGCCAUGCCGCGUGUGUGAAGAAGGCCUUCGGGUUGUAAAGCACUUUCAGCGGGGAGGCGUUACCCGCAGAAGAAGCACCGGCUAACUCCGUGCCAGCAGCCGCGGUAAUAC
rnacentral:rRNA from 1 species